ACAGGACUCAGUGAACUUGGGAAUACAAGGUACUUAGAAGUAGUGGCAUUUAGAAGACUGAGGCAUAGUCCUGUCAGAGCUGGUGUCCAGGUGUCUGUCUGGGCAGUCCUGUCAGAACUGGUAUCUGGGUGUCUGAGGAGUUUGGUCACUGGAAAGUUUGAAGAAAGAGCCCACAGAGCUGGCAAAUGGACUUCUAGGAAAGCAGCGUAGCACUGGUGAUGAUCUGCUUCCAGAAACAGAUGAACUCAUGAGUCAAAAGAAAGGUUCAAAGUAUUCAUGGGGUGGGAGAGUGCACCCACUUCCAGGAGGUCAAGAAAGGACACUGGAGACUUGUACAUGCUGCUGAUGCUAUCAUUGCCAUUGCCGCUGCUGCUAGCAGUCAUGUGUAACUUGCAGAGUGGAGAACAAGAGGAAAAACAAGGUAAGGUCAUUGUCACCUCCCCAUCUGUGAACCUUCUGUGUCCUUGAAGAGAACCUGUCUGACCAGCUCAUGGUAAAGACCUGAACCCCAAAGUUGAGAACAAAGGUGUAGUUUGAAGAGCUGUCCAGUUCCAGCAUCUGCCUACUUAUAC
rnacentral:lncRNA from 1 species